CGGUAAUACGUAGGUGGCAAGCGUUGUCCCGGAUUUAUUGGGCGUAAAGCGAGCGCAGGCGGUUUUUUAAGUCUGAUGUGAAAGCCUUCGGCUCAACCGAAGAAGUGCAUCGGAAACUGGGAAACUUGAGUGCAGAAGAGGACAGUGGAACUCCAUGUGUAGCGGUGAAAUGCGUAGAUAUAUGGAAGAACACCAGUGGCGAAGGCGGCUGUCUGGUCUGUAACUGACGCUGAGGCUCGAAAGUAUGGGUAGCAAACAGGAUUAGAUACCCUGGUAGUCCAUACCGUAAACGAUGAAUGCUAAGUGUUGGAGGGUUUCCGCCCUUCAGUGCUGCAGCUAACGCAUUAAGCAUUCCGCCUGGGGAGUACGGCCGCAAGGCUGAAACUCAAAGGAAUUGACGGGGGCCCGCACAAGCGGUGGAGCAUGUGGUUUAAUUCGAAGCUACGCGAAGAACCUUACCAGGUCUUGACAUACUAUGCAAAUCUAAGAGAUUAGACGUUCCCUUCGGGGACAUGGAUACAGGUGGUGCAUGGUUGUCGUCAGCUCGUGUCGUGAGAUGUUGGGUUAAGUCCCGCAACGAGCGCAACCCUUAUUAUCAGUUGCCAGCAUUAAGUUGGGCACUCUGGUGAGACUGCCGGUGACAAACCGGAGGAAGGUGGGGAUGACGUCAAAUCAUCAUGCCCCUUAUGACCUGGGCUACACACGUGCUACAAUGGAUGGUACAACGAGUUGCGAACUCGCGAGAGUAAGCUAAUCUCUUAAAGCCAUUCUCAGUUCGGAUUGUAGGCUGCAACUCGCCUACAUGAAGUCGGAAUCGCUAGUAAUCGCGGAUCAGCAUGCCGCGGUGAAUACGUUCCCGGGCCUUGUACACACCGCCCGUCACACCAUGAGAGUUUGUAACACCCAAAGUCGGUGGGGUAACC
rnacentral:rRNA from 2 species